AAAGAAUCACAAGACCCAUGGACUGGCACCGGUUGUCUGAGGGGCCAUUUGGCAACAGGCUUGGCAGACAGGGAACAGAGCACCGAGACGGACCGGAAACACAUGCGUGUCCAGAAGCAGGAACGCGUAUGGAGAGACAGAUGGAUGGGGAGGCAGGCCUGGGGGCGGCGCUGCCGGGAGGACUAAGAGGCUGGAACUCAGAGCAGUCUUCUUUUUCCCAAAGAAAACCUUACACGGAAUCCUGUUUUAUCUCCGAAGUGGACGUUCGCCUUGGCUCCUGCUCCUUCAGCUCCAGCUUCAUUGAGUUUUAAAAGGAUGUGAAAUUCUAAUAAAUAUUGCUUUGUGGCUUACUGAGCUCA
rnacentral:lncRNA from 12 species